rnacentral:rRNA from 1 species
UACGUAGAAGACUAGUGUUAUUCAUCUUUAGUAGGUUUAAAGGGUCCUAGACGGUAUAAUUAGUCUUUAAUAGGAAACGGUUAUACUAGAGUUAUAUAUGAGGAGUGAGUAUUUGUGGAGUAGAGUUGAAAUUCUUUGAUACCAUGACGACUGGUAAAGGCGAAAGCAACCUUUUAUCUAAUAACUGACGUUGAGGGACGAAGGCUCGGGCGCGAACAGG